CCUGUGCACCACAUGCAUGCAUUACCUGCAGUGGCCAGAAGAGGUCGUUAAAUCCCCUGCAAGUGAGUGUACAGACACCACGUGAGCGCCGUGUAGAAAUCAAGCUUGGACCCUCUGGUAGAGCAACCCGUGCUCUUAACGUCUGAGCCAAUGCUCCAUCCUCUUUCGUAGCUUUUGCUUCCCCCCAACCUCCCGUAACAUUCUAGGGCUCAAAUUCUGGUCUUUGUGUUUGCAAGUGUUUCUUCACUGUCUCUCCCCAAACUACAGCCUUCCUUGUCCGCAGCUUCCAGACGAUGGGGAGUACCCAGAAAUUUAGCAGGGAAGCCGUCCCUCUUAGACUGGCUAGAAGUCCCUACUUUCUCCUGACUGAGAAAAUGGGGCAUAUAAGAUGCACCAUUAGACAGGGCAAGAAGCACAUUCAGAGAGACUGGGAUUUCAGGCAGGCUCAUCCCGAACCUGACCGUUUACCCAGGGCUCCAUCUUCCUCUCUGGGCCACUGAACUUACUGCCUCUCUCCACCAUUAGCUCCUGUUUGGGUGUUCUAGAUGGCAGCCUUUGGAGAGGGGACUCUGGGAUGCUGCAUGCCACACAUCCCAAGAGACAGUUUGGUCUCUGCCUGGCUGGCUGUUCUAAAAAUACCUUCUGCUAAUGAAGGGAGGGCUGGGGUCUGGCUGGAGUGGGGUGCUGGGCCCCAUUCUCCUGUGAGCAGGCCCUGUCCUGAGCUCAUCAGCUAAGCAGAGCUGGAGUGUGAAAGUCAAGCUGAACCUGCCUAAUUGUGCCUGCGAAGGCAAUUCAGAGAAGCUGCUCUUGGAAGGGAAUCAGGACAAUUAGCUCUGAGCUGUGUGGAGAAGGGACAAGAGAGCUCACCAUGGUGAAUGUCAGCCUGUCCCUGGGGGAAGCAAAGGGCAGCAUUGAGUGAGAGUGAAGAGGUGACUCUAAUUUGUGUCAAAUCACAAUACAAAACAAAAGCACACAGCCCUUUUUGCAUCUGAGGAGACAGAGCUCCAAGGGAGAUUCCCCAAAUAGAAGCCCCCCACCCCGACCCCUGCCAGCCACUUCUGUGUCCAGCUGUCCACGGGAUGUGAAGCCAGGCCAUGUUCAGCUUUUUCAGCCAGCGCAGAGGAACAGCUGCCCCCCAUCACCGAUGGCACAGGGAGGAAGUCUCCUCAGCAUGCUUUAUGGUGUUGAGCAUCAUUGCUGAUGCCAUCCUCUGCUGGGUGGACCAGAAUGGUGAUGGAUGAAGAACAGAAGAGCCAAGGCCUGCUGGAGCAAUUGGGAGAGACCCUUCUCCAGGGAGACUGGAUGCUGCCUCCAAAAUCUCAAGAGCUCUUCUGGAAAAGGUGAGCCUGAUUUCCUGGCUGAGCCCUGGGAUUUGGAAAGUGGUGUUGCUACUUGUGUCCAGUGAGCCUACUGUAUGUUAGGACUUGGUGCAGUUUCUCAGACCAUCUUUCUAUGCAGAGGGACAAGAAGGAAGCUGCUUUGGACCCCAAGAAGGGAAGCCCUUACUGGAAACCCACUCUGAGGGAGGCAGGAAAAGGAUUUGGGGCAGGCUGAGUGGCCUGGGGUAAUUGGUUUCUCAGCCACAGUGGGUAGCAGCUUUUUUGGGUCCUCAAGGAGGCUCUGGAAGAUUCUUUUGCCCCAAGUGUGGCAAGAGGGGCUGAAGCAGACGGAGCUCUCUGAGAUCACAGCCCACCUCUCACCGCCCACCUUCAAGAAGCUCAUAGAUCCAUCUUAAAAGCCUUUCCAAUAAAGCCUUGGAGACAACAAGCCCCAUUUCUGAGCAGAGCUGAACGGUUAUUUUACACUUCAUCUAAUUGAUUAAAAUGACUCUUCUGAAUUAACUGGGCUUUCCAGAGCCGAGCGGGGGAGUGAAAUCCAGAGAGUGAGCUGGCUGCCAGGCUGGACAGUGGCUUUUGUGAGGGAUGGCUCCUCUGGUCCCUGCUGUGUACAACUCUGCUUUCUGUCUCCCACAUCCAGUACUCUCCUGCAAAAGCUAAGGGCAUCUUUGCGGGGUUUCAGCCCUCAGAAAUGGGAUCGGGGAUGAUACUGGUUCCCUGCAAACCUCUAGCCUGCUGGAAUUCGUGCAUCAUACUGUAGCCUUGACUCUCAUACUACUCCAGAGAAUCACCGAGACACUGAUUGACAGAACAGAUAUUAAGGCCUAUAGGUGGCUUAUUUACAAGGUGGCCAGGUUGGGGCUGAGGCCAAUCUGUUGAUGGGAAGCCAAAUGUCCUGUUCACUCUCCAACUCUUGCCCUGAAGAUAUUGUCAAGGGAGUUCUCUUAUGCUGUCAUCUUAUUUCAUGACCCUGAGAUUCAUAGUGUCAAUGCAAUGGGUUUCAAGACUUCACACUUGAGACCUUGUCCAGAAUGACACCUGAGUCAGCAGGUCUCAGCUUGCUGGAGGUGAUGUCAAUGUCACAUGAACUGUCCCAUACCCACAUGUGACACCUGUCAGGAUAUCUGUCAUGAUGUCCAUGGUGACACAUACCUGUAAUUCCUGGGGAGUGGGAGCAGGCCAACCUCAGUUAUAUAGCAAAUUUAGGUCAGCCUGAGCUAAGUACCCCUAAAAGAGAUCUGUUGUGAGCAAGAACAUAAAUACUCAUAGUUAGUGUCAUGAUUUAUAUAUUCUUGGAUCAGGGAGUGGCACCAUUUGGAGGUGUGGCCUUGUUGGAACAGGUG